rnacentral:rRNA from 1 species
CCUACGGGUGGCAGCAGUGGGGAAUAUUGGACAAUGGGCGAAAGCCUGAUCCAGCCAUGCCGCGUGUGUGAAGAAGGCCUUCGGGUUGUAAAGCACUUUCAGUGGGGAAGAAAGCCUUGGGGCUAAUACCCUCGAGGAAGGACAUCACCCACAGAAGAAGCACCGGCUAACUCCGUGCCAGCGCCGCGGUAAUACGGAGGGUGCGAGCGUUAAUCGGAAUUACUGGGCGUAAAGCGCGCGUAGGCGGUCUGAUAAGCCGGUUGUGAAAGCCCCGGGCUCAACCUGGGAACGGCAUCCGGAACUGUCAGGCUAGAGUGCAGGAGAGGAAGGUAGAAUUCCCGGUGUAGCGGUGAAAUGCGUAGAGAUCGGGAGGAAUACCAGUGGCGAAGGCGGUCUUCUGGACUGACACUGACGCUGAGGUGCGAAAGCGUGGGUAGCAAACAGGAUUAGAUACCCCGGUAGUC